rnacentral:lncRNA from 1 species
AAAUUGAGACGCCUGGGUGGGGGCUGGGCACCGAAUCCUCGGCUCCAGAGAUUCCCAGGAGGAGUGUAACACCUGCUGAUUUGACGCUUUUCCGUCUAGCCAUUCCAUGGCAUGGAACAAAAAUGACAAAUAUGGCAGAGGGACUCUUGUGGACUUGAAGAGGUUGAAGAGACCUGCAGGGAAUCCAGGUGAGUUUUAUUCUAGCGUAUCAUUUCCUGAUGGCCUUGACUUGUAAGAAAACCGUGCUUUUCAGCUCUUGUAAAAACCGUUAAAAUGGAGUUAGUAAGAAAAUUUUUUUCUCCCCAUUUUUUUUUAUUGUGGUAAAUACAUGUAACAUAAAAUUUACCAUCUUAACCAUUUUCAAGUAUAUAGUUCAGUGGUUUUAAGUACAUUGUUGUGCAACUAUCAUCUCAAACCAUCUAUAGAACUUUUUUCAUCUUGCAAAACUGAAACUCUGUACCCAUUAAACAACUUCCAAUCCACCUUUCCCCCUCUUCUCACAACCACCAUUUUUCUUUCUGUAUCUAUGCAUUGACUACUCUAGCACCUCAUAUGAGUGAAAUAGUGUAUAGAAUAUAUCUUUCUGUGACCAGAUUAUUUCACUUAGUGUAAUGUCCUCAAGUUUCAUCCAUGUGUCAGAUUUUCCUUCCCAUUUAAGAUAUUAAAAUUAUAUUGUAUGUAUGGACCACAUUUUUCUUAGCCAUCAUCCAUUGAUGGAUUCUUGGAUUGUUUCUACAUUUAGCUCCAUAAUACUACUACUAUAACAGUUAUUCAAAUAAAAAUACAAAUGUAUAAUGAUUAUACA